rnacentral:misc_RNA from 1 species
GUGAACCUGCGGAAGGAUCAUUAUUGAAUAAAUUUGGUAGAGGUUGUUGCUGGUUCUUAGGAGCAAGUGCACGCCUUUCCAUCUUUACUUCUCCACCUGUGCACAUUUUGUAGUCUUUUUUGAUGGGAAGCAGCUAAAUACUCGAGGCAACUCGGAUGGUAGGAUCUGCUGUGCCACAUGGUCAGCUUUCCUUGUACAUUGCCUUCAAUCUUAAAGGUCUACGUUUUUCAUAUAACCCAAAUGUAUGUCAUUAGAAUGUAAUCAAUGGGCUUUGUUGCCUAUAAAACAAAUACAACUUUCAGCAACGGAUCUCUUGGCUCUCGCAUCGAUGAAGAACGCAGCNNNNNNNNNNNNNNAAUGUGAAUUGCAGAAUUCAGUGAAUCAUCGAAUCUUUGAACGCACCUUGCGCUCCUUGGUAUUCCGAGGAGCAUGCUUGUUUGAGUGUCAUUAAAUUCUCAAUCCCUUUCAAGUUUUUAUUAACUUUGAAUUUGGGCUUGGAUUUGGGUGUUGCGGGCUUUUCCAAAGUCGGCUCUCCUUAAAAUUAUUAGCGGAACUUUUUGUGAAGCCGUCAUAGUGUGAUAAUUAUCUACGCUAUCGAUGUUGCUUACCUAUAAUGAAGUUUAGCUUCUAAUAGUCCACUUACGCGGACAAUAUCAAUAUCUUUUAUUGAUGACCAUUUGACCUCAAAUCAAGUAGGACUACCCGCUGAACUUAAGCAUAUCAAUAAGCGGAGGAAAAGAAACUAACAAGGAUUCCCCUAGUAACUGCGAGUGAAGCGGGAAAAGCUCAAAUUUAAAAUCUGGCGGUCUUAGGCUGUCCGAGUUGUAAUCUAGAGAAGUGUUAUCCGCGCUGGACCGUGUACAAGUCCCUUGA